rnacentral:rRNA from 1 species
UGCCAGCCGCCGCGGUAAUACGAAGGGACCUAGCGUAGUUCGGAAUUACUGGGCUUAAAGAGUUCGUAGGUGGUUGAAAUAGUUGGUGGUGAAAUCCCAGAGCUUAACUCUGGAACUGCCAUCAAAACUUUUCAGCUAGAGUAUGAUAGAGGAAAGCAGAAUUUCUAGUGUAGAAGUGAAAUUCGUAGAUAUUAGAAAGAAUACCAAUUGCGAAGGCAGCUUUCUGGACCGUGAUCGACGCUGAGGAGCGAAAGCUAGGGGAGCAAACAGGAUUAGAUA